rnacentral:rRNA from 1 species
GAUGAACGCUGGCGGCGCGCCUAACACAUGCAAGUCGAACGUGAUUUUUAUGGAAUAGCCUUCGGGAUAGGAAAUGAAAUGAAAGUGGCGAACGGGUGAGCAACACGUGAGCAACCUACCUUACACAGGGGGAUAGCCGUUGGAAACGACGAUUAAUACCGCAUGAGACCACAGAACCGCAUGGUAAAGGGGUCAAAGAUUUAUCGGUGUAAGAUGGGCUCGCGUCUGAUUAGCUAGUUGGAAGGGUAAAGGCCUACCAAGGCGACGAUCAGUAGCCGGUCUGAGAGGAUGAACGGCCACAUUGGAACUGAGACACGGUCCAAACUCCUACGGGAGGCAGCAGUGGGGAAUAUUGCACAAUGGGGGAAACCCUGAUGCAGCGACGCCGCGUGAGCGAAGAAGGUUUUCGAAUCGUAAAGCUCUGUCCUAUGAGAAGAUAAUGACGGUAUCAUAGGAGGAAGCCCCGGCUAAAUACGUGCCAGCAGCCGCGGUAAUACGUAUGGGGCGAGCGUUGUCCGGAAUUAUUGGGCGUAAAGGGUACGUAGGCGGUCUAUUAAGUCAGGUGUGAAAGCGUGAGGCUUAACCUCAUUAAGCACUUGAAACUGAUAGACUUGAGUAAAGGAGGGGAAGGUGGAAUUCCUAGUGUAGCGGUGGAAUGCGCAGAUAUUAGGAAGAACACCGGUGGCGAAGGCGGCCUUCUGGGCCAUAACUGACGCUGAGGAGCGAAAGCUAGGGGAGCGAACAGG